rnacentral:lncRNA from 1 species
CUAGUCACAACUGGGCUUCUGUACAAAUUAGAACCAUGUCUAUGAGGUAACUAAAUAUUAACUGGAUUAACUCUCUUCCAACUGGAAUUAGUCAUUGUUGUCAUAGGACUAUAUCAAGAGUUGUUGUUAACAACAGAUAAAGUAUAUCCAUAUACCACAACAGCACAAUGUUAUUUCCACAGAAUCUGAGGCUCCUGCUAUCCAAAUCCCAAUCAAGAAAUUACCAUUCUGGUUUCUCAAUACUUAGAAAACUUGGAUUUCCAAAUAGAUUUCCACCCCCCACCAGCAAGGACCCAAUAUCAGUAUAUCAAGAGGCCUCAAGAGGACUAUGAGAAUAUUUACAUCUCCAAGCCAAAGCAUGUGGGUUUCACAAUAUUUCAUAGUAUCUCUGGAAAAGGAACGAAAGGAGCACAGAUUUCUUUUAGAUGCAAGAUCUACCUACGUUUGGCUGAAAAGCAUAUGGAAGAAUCCACAGUGGGAAAGGAAGAAAAGACGGACUAUUUUUAUUAAGAAAGAGUACCUGCAGAAAGCGCAGCUACAGGGUUAG